GACAGAGGGUGCAAACGUUGUUCGGAAUUACUGGGCGUAAAGCGUGUGUAGGCGGCCAUAUAAGUCGGAUGUGAAAGCCCUGGGCUCAACCCAGGAAGUGCACUCGAUACUGUAUGGCUCGAGUACUGGAGAGGUUGGUGGAAUUCUCGGUGUAGAGGUGAAAUUCGUAGAUAUCGAGAGGAACACCGGUGGCGAAGGCGGCCAACUGGACAGAUACUGACGCUGAGACACGAAAGCGUGGGGAGCAAACAGG
rnacentral:rRNA from 2 species